rnacentral:rRNA from 1 species
AGCGGCAGCUUAACACAUGCAAGUCGAACGGUAACUUUUAGUGCUUGCACUGAAAGACGAGUGGCGGACGGGUGCGUAACGCGUAUGCAAUCUACCUUUUACUAGGGUAUAGCCCAGAGAAAUUUGGAUUAAUCCCCUAUAAUAUUAAAAUUCCGCAUGGUUUUUUAAUUAAAGCUUCGGUGGUAAAAGAUGAGCAUGCGUCCUAUUAGUUUGUAGGUGAGGUAACGGCUCACCUAGACUACGAUAGGUAGGGGCCCUGAGAGGGGGAUCCCCCACACUGGUACUGAGACACGGACCAGACUCCUACGGGAGGCAGCAGUGAGGAAUAUUGGACAAUGGACGAAAGUCUGAUCCAGCUAUGCCGCGUGCAGGAUGACAGCCCUACGGGUUGUAAACUGCUUUUAUACAGGAAGAAACUCCCCGACGAGUCGGGGCUUGACGGUACUGUAAGAAUAAGGAUCGGCUAACUCCGUGCCAGCAGCCGCGGUAAUACGGAGGAUCCAAGCGUUAUCCGGAAUUAUUGGGUUUAAAGGGUCCGCAGGCUGUUUUUUAAGUCAGAGGUGAAAUCCUGCAGCUCAACUGUAGAAUUGCCUUUGAAACUGAAAGACUUGAGUUAUUGUGAAGUGGUUAGAAUGUGUGGUGUAGCGGUGAAAUGCAUAGAUAUCACACAGAAUACCAAUUGCGAAGGCAGAUCACUAACAAUUAACUGACGCUCAGGGACGAAAGCGUGGGUAGCGAACAGGAUUAGAUACCCUGGUAGUCCACGCCGUAAACGAUGGAUACUAGCUGUAUGUCUGCCUCAGGUAGAUGUGUGGCUAAGCGAAAGUGAUAAGUAUCCCACCUGGGG